UUGACUUGCAAUGCUUGCUGAUGCUGGUAGUGUAAAUACACCAUGGCCAACAGGAAGUUAUGAAGCAUGGAGCUAGUUUCACAAACCAUGUGUGUGUGUGUGUGUGUGUGUGUGUGUGUGUGUGUGUGUGUGUAUGCUAUCUCCACUAUGUAGACACAAUAGACGUAAACAGCCUCAAAAGCAUAGAUGACAGUCAAACAUACUAACAUUAUUCAGAAGUAUUGAGUUUUGAGUAUUUCUUACCUUUGUUUUUUUAUAUAGUUUAUUUAAGCAUGACUUUAUGCAAUUUAAUAUUUAACAAUGGGUGUGUCUGACAACUACCUCACAAAAGUCCUGGAAAUUUUGCAGUUGACUCUUGAGUUGCUAACCCCCGACGGCAGCACACGCCUGUGUGUGUUUGAUUGACUCCCAGUUUUAAAUUACAUCCUGUGUUUAGAUGAAGUUCACGCUCUCCUCCUAGUUCAGGCUCAUCCCUAACAGUGUCCCUGCACAGUUUUCUGCUGGGGCGUGACGAGCUGGUUGGCAUGCCCUAAGUGUCCUCAACAGCAAGCAGACACAUGCACCCUGGCUGGUGCACCCCAGACGAGUCUGUUGUACUGAUAUUAAGGACAACAGUGUUUUGCCAGAAGCUAUAACAAGAUGAUUCUGUAACAACAGCAUGGUGACACCAGACUAUGUUUUGCAAUUUUCUUUAAUAUUUAUGCUGGAUAAAUAAUUUAUCUCCUUUUUUUUCAGUUUUUUUUUUCUUUCCAUCUUGAACAUGUUGAUAUAGACAGGUGCUAGGUUUCCCUGGAAGACUGAAGCAAGGAUUGGGUUAUUUCCCACUCACUCCCACCCCCAAGAAAAAUCAGAGGUGUCAGCAGAGUUGAGCCUCUGGGAAUGGUUCCCAUAAGUCCUCAUCCCAUCUACUAAUACAAACUAAUGAGUUCUAUUAAGUAUCAGCCCACACAUUUGAAGGGAGUCACUUAUUAAUGUGACAUCUUUGCAAGGCAUUAUAGCAUCAGGAUCAUCAUCCUCUGAGGUUUGGGGAAACUCAAAGUCAUGGCUCACCUGUUAUUUAUAUGUUUGGGGCUCAAUGCAGAGGCUCCUCAGAGCCCAGAGUUUCACAGUGCCAGUCCUGUUAGACUUGGUGCUGGGCCAUUCAUUGUUGUGGGGUUCUGUCCUGGGCACUGUAGGAGGUUGAGCAGCAUCCCUGGCCUCCUCCCACUAGAUACCCAUAGGAAGCCCUCUCCUGAAGUAAGGAUAAAAAAAUAUCUCUGGAUAUUGCCAAAUGCCCUCUGGGUUGGGGCUUGUGGGGAAGGGGAUUGCCAUAGGGGGAGAAUCAGUGUUCCAGAGCCACAGUUCUUAGCCACUUACAGUGUACAGGGAAGAAGAAGUAGCCAUUGCUUCCUUAUAGUUAGCCCUCUCUCCACCUGGCUUCCAGGAACCUCCAGCCCCCUAAAUGUGAGAACUGAGAAUAAGGCAGCCUUAUGCCACCAAAUCAGCUUUGCCCAGAGAUCUGGCCUGGAGGGAGAAAUGCAGUGUUUCUACCCAAGGACUCCUGAGAAUUGCAGACAGCAUCGGGAAUGGGGUCUCUAGAGUGGGUGGAACUGCGGCCUGUUCUUUCUCAGACUGUUGCUUGCUGUGCUCACAGACUAGUUUCUGAACUGUGGAGCAAGUAGGUAUUUCACUGGGCACUGGGGAGCACCUCCAGUGGAAGAUUUGAAAGGUUCCCACUGCCCUUGGCUGCGGAUGGAGGGGUUGUGAGAGAUAGGUCUUUACCCCUUUAAGGUGGCAUAGACUGCACAGUUACUGCAGGUUGAAUUUUAGGAUUGCUCUGAGGGUGCUCCAAGCCCCCUCCCAACAGAAAAGCAAGUUUUGUACAGCUCAGCUCUAGGUGAAGGGCACCCCGUGGAAUUAUAUCAUGUUAACUACACAAUGGUCCGCCUGAGCCCUUUCUUCAGGCGCAAGAGGGCUGAGAUUAAGCUUUCCCUUUUUUCUUCUGCAAACAGGCCUUUCCGACUUUUUAGCUGGGCCUGCCAGUAUGACAUUUGAGCAUGACAGACUUGGUACCUUGCUGGCCCUGCCUUGCACCUGGAUCCUAGGUAGCUGACCUGAGAACCUUUGGAGCUGCUGGGGUGGGCGAUGUCAACAGCCACCAGUCAGCCUGGAAUGACCCUCUUCCACCCUGAGGAUCCUGUUCUCUCUUUCCUUGUCCAGCCACUGUUCAAGUUGACCCAGUAUAAAAGCCCACUGGACCACCUCAAUGACUUUUUAGAAAUUCAACCCAUUCCUGUAACUUCCUAGCCUCUCUUUUAUCAUUGUAUGUAAAGUCUACCUCACAGUAUGUUGAAACAAAUAUAUUCCAUAUCUAGUCCACAUUGGAUUGAUUGUGUAUGAUGUCAGAGCACUUUGCUACAUCUAGAACAAGUGAGCAAGAGAUAGUCUUUGACCUUGGGGACAGGUCCAGGGCCUGCCUCUAGGAGGUGUUUACAGAAUCCGUGUUUGCCUCCCCUCCCAAGUGAGACUGGAUUUAUGUUGAAAUUUGCUUUAUUUAUUGGCUUAGGGAAAUUUUAUUGUGCUGCUAUGUGCAGCAACUUAUGGAGUUACAAUUCAGGGGGUUAACUUAGUUCUUAGAGAAUCAUCAUAUCAAAAUAUGUUUUUCCUUCAAUUUGUAGCCUUUUGACAAAUUACCAAGAGCUUUAUCCCUGAUAUACUAAAUACUGCGGGCCACGAGUGUGAGAAUGGUGAAUAUAAGUGUGCUGGCAUCUACUUCCCAAGUCCUUUGCCUAUGACAAACAUCACUAAUCAAUCAGAAUCAUGCUUAGCACAUGACUCCAAGCAGGCAUUACUAGUUAUCUGGAGUCAGGGUAGGAGACACUUUUUAUCUGCCAUCCUAGCAAAGUGAUAUUUUGGUAAAAGCAUCACCGUUCUUCCUGCAGAAUACAGAUCGGCCCCCUGUAUAUCGGUCACACCUUUGGAGAUCUUAUUCCCAGCGAUAUUUAGCAGUCAUAGCUUGGCCUUCCUCCUGGGAGAAGGCUGGAAAAACUUCAAGCCAGUCACCUAUUGGUAUAAUAUAUGUUUUCUACUUCCAUUUUCUGCCUGGGCCUGACACUCCUCUCCAACCAUAAGCUAGAGCUGUGUCAGAAAAAGUUCUCCAUUAAGAAUUUGUGUAUUAAGGAUGGCCAAUAGACAUAUGAAAAGAUGCUCAAUGUCAUUAACCAUCAGAGAAAUGCAAAUUAAAACUGUA